UUGCGUAGGUGGUUUGUUAAGUGAAUAGUGAAAGCUGGAGGCUCAACCUUACAGACUAUUAUUCAAACUGGCAAACUCGAGAGUAGUAGAGGUAACUGGAAUUUCUUGUGUAGGAGUGAAAUCCGUAGAUAUAAGAAGGAACACCAAUGGCGUAGGCAGGUUACUGGGCUAUCUCUGACACUGAGGCACGAAAGCGUGGGGAGCGAACC
rnacentral:rRNA from 1 species